GAUGAACGCUGGCGGCGUGCCUAAUACAUGCAAGUCGAGCGAACAGAUAAGGAGCUUGCUCCUUUGACGUUAGCGGCGGACGGGUGAGUAACACGUGGGUAACCUACCUAUAAGACUGGAAUAACUCCGGGAAACCGGGGCUAAUGCCGGAUAACAUUUAGAACCGCAUGGUUCUAAAGUGAAAGAUGGUUUUGCUAUCACUUAUAGAUGGACCCGCGCCGUAUUAGCUAGUUGGUAAGGUAACGGCUUACCAAGGCAACGAUACGUAGCCGACCUGAGAGGGGGGCGGCCCAACCUGAAAGUGGAAACGGGCCCAAACCCCACGGGGAGGAAGAGGUGGGGAUCUGCCGGCAAGGGGCGAAACCCAGAGGGGGCAACGCGGGGGGGGGGAGGAAGGUCUUGGGAUCUAAAAACUUUUUUAUGGGGGAAAAAAAAUUGUGUAAGUAACUGUGCAGUUUUUGACGGUACCAAAUAAAAAAGCCCCGGCAAACUACG
rnacentral:rRNA from 1 species